rnacentral:rRNA from 1 species
GGCGUAAGAGCUCGUAGGCGGUUUGUCGCGUCUGCUGUGAAAAUCCAAGGCUCAACCUUGGACCUGCAGUGGGUACGGGCAGACUAGAGUGCGGUAGGGGAGAUGGGAAUUCCUGGUGUAGCGGUGGAAUGCGCAGAUAUCAGGAGGAACACCAAUGGCGAAGGCACAUCUCUGGGCCGUAACUGACGCUGAGGAGCGAAAGCGUGGGGAGCGAACAGGAUUAGAUACCCUGGUAGUCCACGCCGUAAACGGUGGGUGCUAGUUGUGGGCCACAUUCCACGUGGUCCGUGACGAAGUUAACACAUUAAGCACCCCGCCUGGGGAGUACGGUCGCAAGACUAAAACUCAAAGGAAUUGACGGGGGCCCGCACAAGCGGCGGAGCAUGCGGAUUAAUUCGAUGCAACGCGAAGAACCUUACCAAGGCUUGACAUAUAGAGGAAACGUGCAGAAAUGUACGCCCCGCAAGGUCUCUAUACAGGUGGUGCAUGGUUGUCGUCAGCUCGUGUCGUGAGAUGUUGGGUUAAGUCCCGCAACGAGCGCAACCCUCGUCCUAUGUUGCCAGCACGUAAUGGUGGGAACUCAUGGGAGACUGCCGGGGUCAACUCGGAGGAAGGU